UGACUAAUAGUAAGCAAAAUU
rnacentral:piRNA from 1 species